rnacentral:rRNA from 1 species
UAGCUAGUUGGUGAGGUAACGGCUUACCAAGGCGACGAUCUGUAGCGGGUCUGAGAGGAUGAUCCGCCACACUGGAACUGAGACACGGUCCAGACUCCUACGGGAGGCAGCAGUGGGGAAUUUUGGACAAUGGGGGCAACCCUGAUCCAGCCAUGCCGCGUGAGUGAAGAAGGCCUUCGGGUUGUAAAGCUCUUUCGGCCGGGAAGAAAUCGCAUGGGCCAAUACCCUGUGUGGAUGACGGUACCGGAAUAAGAAGCACCGGCUAACUACGUGCCAGCAGCCGCGGUAAUACGUAGGGUGCGAGCGUUAAUCGGAAUUACUGGGCGUAAAGCGUGCGCAGGCGGUUUUGUAAGACAGGCGUGAAAUCCCCGGGCUCAACCUGGGAACUGCGUUUGUGACUGCAAGGCUAGAGUACGGCAGAGGGGGGUGGAAUUCCACGUGUAGCAGUGAAAUGCGUAGAGAUGUGGAGGAACACCAAUGGCGAAGGCAGCCCCCUGGGUCGAUACUGACGCUCAUGCACGAAAGCGUGGGUAGCAAACAGGAUUAGAUACCCUGGUAGUCCACGCCCUAAACUAUGUCAACUAGGUGUUGGGUGGGUAAAACCAUUUAGUACCGUAGCUAACGCGUGAAGUUGACCGCCUGGGGAGUACGGCCGCAAGGUUAAAACUCAAAGGAAUUGACGGGGACCCGCACAAGCGGUGGAUGAUGUGGAUUAAUUCGAUGCAACGCGAAAAACCUUACCUACCCUUGACAUGCCAGGAACUUGCCAGAGAUGGCUUGGUGCCCGAAAGGGAGCCUGGACACAGGUGCUGCAUGGCUGUCGUCAGCUCGUGUCGUGAGAUGUUGGGUUAAGUCCCGCAACGAGCGCAACCCUUGUCGUUAAUUGCCAUCAUUUAGUUGGGCACUUUAGCGAGACUGCCGGUGACAAACCGGAGGAAGGUGGGGAUGACGUCAAGUCCUCAUGGCCCUUAUGGGUAGGGCUUCACACGUCAUACAAUGGUCGGUACAGAGGGUCGCCAAGCCGCGGGGUGGAGCCAAUCCCAGAAAGCCGAUCGUAGUCCGGAUUGCAGGCUGCAACUCGCCUGCAUGAAGUCGGAAUCGCUUGUAAUCGUGGAUCAGCAUGUCACGGUGAAUACGUUCCCGGGUCUUGUACACACCGCCCGUCACACCAUGGGAGCGGGUUCCGCCAGAAGUAGGUAGCCUAACCGCAAGGAGGGCGCUUACCACGGCUGGGUUCGUGACUGGGGUGAAGUCGUAACAAGGUAGCCGUAGGGAACCUGCGGCUG